rnacentral:pre_miRNA from 1 species
GCCUAUUUUUCGAGUCAUGUGGGCUUUGCACUUCGCUUUUUAUACAACGUGUUUCUUUUUUAGUAUCGUGUGUAAAAACGAAGUGUUAAACUCAUGAGGCUAGGUUACAACGCUUGG